GACGAACGCUGGCGGCGUGCCUAAUACAUGCAAGUAGAACGCACAGUUUAUACCGUAGCUUGCUACACCAUAGACUGUGAGUUGCGAACGGGUGAGUAACGCGUAGGUAACCUGCCUGGUAGCGGGGGAUAACUAUUGGAAACGAUAGCUAAUACCGCAUAAUAUUAAUUAUUGCAUGAUAAUUAAUUGAACGGUGCAAUUGCACCACUACCAGAUGGACCUGCGUUGUAUUAGCUAGUAGGUGAGGUAACGGCUCACCUAGGCGACGAUACAUAGCCGACCUGAGAGGGUGAUCGGCCACACUGGGACUGAGACACGGCCCAGACUCCUACGGGAGGCAGCAGUAGGGAAUCUUCGGCAAUAGACGAAAGUCUGACCGAGCAACGCCGCGUGAGUGAAGAAGGUUUUCGGAUCGUAAAGCUCUGUUGUAAGAGAAGAACGGGUGUGAGAGUGGAAAGUUCACACUGUGACGGUAUCUUACCAGAAAGGGACGGCUAACUACGUG
rnacentral:rRNA from 1 species